CACUUACCUGAUUGGUCCGCUGUUCAAUCUGACUCCUAGCUCCAGUUUGAAAAUGUCAGUGUCUCAGCAGACAGCGUAACAGAAACAGCUGCUGCUACUACGUCUGCAUAUUCCGUUCUAUCGACCAGUAACAAAGUCAGUCCGAGGCCGUUUAAUCCCUCGUGCUUUCAGUAUUUUGCCACUGUUCUGGAUCCCACCGAUCAUUAAGGAAAAGGAGAAAACCAAACAAACAAAGAAACUUCAUUCUGUGCUCCUGCCGUGCUGACGUGUCAUCACAAUUACCCGGAAGCCGGUGACAUCACAGUUAAAGGUCCUCCUGAAACCAACAACAGAAAACCUGUUCCAGCGCCUGCCUCUGAGCAAGAUUAUUUUCUCAUCAGACCUCUCUUGCUGUGGGGCAAUCUAUAUUGGAGCCCUAAUCCGUUGGAUUAUAAUGGACAUUUAUUUUUGGAGAAGAAUUUUGUGAUUAUUUUUUGAUGGCUAUAUAUUUAUUUUUCUUUUUGAAAUACAAGGACUGUUAAGCCUAAUUUUUUGUUGUCUUUUUGUGA